UACCCGCACGUAUUUUUGGUACGUCGACGUAUUAUUCGUCCAAAUCUUCUUUUUAAUAUGCAUCGUUAGAUUAGGUCCAUAUCCAACUACAUCAGUCCGAUCCGACUAAACUUUUAUAGAACAACACUUUUCCGUUCUUUCUCUUCGAUUAUUAGUCUUCUUCUCCCUCGAUUCUCUGACUCUCUGCUCAACAGCUGAAUCUUCAGUUGUGUUUCGAACGUGAAGAUUAAUAGUUGAAUCGAUUUUUUUUCUAUUCUUCGAUUAGGUUGCAGUAUUAUCAAUGGUACCACCAGUAUAGCAAUGAUGUAUAUCUUGCAUUCUUACACUAGACCUACAGCCGGAACUAUUGAUCCUUCUCAAGUAAUCCAGUCCAAAUGCUUACUCAAAGAAUCAGUCCAAGAGAUGGGGAACCCGAGUUAUUGGAUACAGAAAGAGGAGAAAGGCCAUAAUGUUUGAGAAAAUAAUAAGGUAUGCAUCAACAAAAGUGUAUGCGGAAACCUGUUCAAGCCACCACGUACACGCCUCCUGCAGAAGCCUUGGACCCUGAAUAUUUAUAUCCGAGAUUUUUAUGUUACAAUGAUUUUUGUUUCGGAGCAUCGUACUUUUGCGAGAAUAGAAAAUACAUAUGACAAACUAAGGUUUGCUGACUGCAUCACACGUGCACUAAACUUGUUAUAGUAGAGCUAUUAUUACAAAAGACCAAGCACAGCUUCCCAAUUACUCAGGAGCUGACUGAUAGAAACACCAUCAAAAAGAUUAUAACUAACAGACCAGUUGUAGAUAAGAAUUUUUACACUAUCAAUAAUCUCGUCCAAACUUUUGUAUUUUCCAUUGAAUACUCUGUUAUUUCUCUCAAUCCAGAUUUCCCACCAUAUGGAAAAAGGAAUCAAGUCCUAAAUUCUUCUUCUUCUUUCA